rnacentral:tRNA from 9 species
GGGGAUGUGGCGGAAUUGGUAGACGCAACGGACUUAAAAUCCGUUGAAGGUAACUUCGUAUGGGUUCAAGUCCCUUCAUCCCCACCA